rnacentral:rRNA from 1 species
GUGGGGAAUAUUCCGCAAUGGACGAAAGUCUGACGGAGCAACGCCGCGUGAGUGAUGAAGGUUUUCGGACUGUAAAGCUCUGUUGUUUAGGACGAAAGUGCCUGUUGCGAAUAGUUACAGGUAUUGACGGUACUGAACGAGGAAGCCACGGCUAACUACGUGCCAGCAGCCGCGGUAAUACGUAGGUGGCAAGCGUUGUCCGGAAUUAUUGGGCGUAAAGAGCAUGUAGGCGGGAAUCUAAGUCUGUUGUGAAAAUGCGGGGCUCAACCCCGUAUUGCGAUGGAUACUGGGUUUCUUGAGUGCAGGAGAGGAAAGGGGAAUUCCCAGUGUAGCGGUGAAAUGCGUAGAUAUUGGGAGGAACACCAGUGGCGAAGGCGCCUUUCUGGACUGUGUCUGACGCUGAGAUGCGAAAGCCAGGGUAGCGAACGGGAUUAGAUACCCGGGUAGUCC